rnacentral:rRNA from 1 species
UACAGAGGGUGCAAGCGUUGUUCGGAAUCACUGGGCGUAAAGGGUGCGUAGGCCGCACGGUAAGUCAGAGGUGAAAUCCCGGAGCUCAACUUCGGAAUUGCCUCCGAUACUGCCGUGCUUGAGGACUGGAGAGGAGAUUGGAAUUCACAGUGGAGCAGUGAAAUGCGUAGAUAUUGUGAGGAACACUAGUGGCGAAGGCGAAUCUCUGGACAGUUCCUGACGCUGAGGCACGAAGGCCAGGGGAGCAAACGGG